CAGAUGAUUACAAAGGAUAGAUAUUGCAUUCCGAAACUAAAGUAGUGCAAAGAUGUAGUUUGAUAAACCUAUAAAAUACAUACUACAAAACGUACAAAAGCAGUUGAAAUGGAUGAGCAAGUAGACCUGACAAAUAGUAACUGUAUCAUUAGAGGAUGAAGCUGCCUAUCUUUAUAGAAUAGCUGAUAUGCUAUCUGAAGUAGGACCAAC
rnacentral:lncRNA from 1 species